CCCGUACCUGUUCACGUGGGCACUGUGGGUCCCCCAGCCCAUACCUGUUCAUGUGGGCAGGACAAGGAUUAAAGAACCUGCCCAGGAUGUUUUGGUGGUGCCCAGGUGACUCCAGCCCGUACCUGUUCACGUGGGCACUGUGGGUCCCCCAGCCCAUACCUGUUCACGUGGGCAGGACAAGGAUUAACGAACCUGCCCAGGAUGUUUUGGUGGUGCCCAGGUGAGCCCGUACCUGUUCACGUGGGCAGGACAAGGAUUAAUGAACCUGCCCAGGAUGUUCUGCUGGUGCCCAGGUGAGCCCAGCCCGUACCAAGGAUUAAAGAACCUGCCCAGGAUGUUUUGGUGGUGCCCAGGUGAGCCCAUACCUGUUUACGUGGGCAGGACAAGGAUUAAUGAACCUGCCCAGGAUGUUUUGGUGGUGCCCAGGUGAGCCCAGGUGACUCCAGCCCGUACCUGUUCACGUGGGCACUGUGGGUCCCCCAGCCCAUACCUGUUCACGUGGGCAGGACAAGGAUUAACGAACCUGCCCAGGAUGUUUUGGUGGUGCCCAGGUGAGCCCGUACCUGUUCAUGUGGGCAGGCCCGUAGCCCCCGAUGGCGUAGAUCAUGCCGUCCAGCACGGCGGCAGCGAAGCAGCUCCGUGUCCUGCUCAUGGGUGCCACCAGCUGCCACUCCUUGCCCUUG